UCAGGACCUUGUACUUGCCAGGCAGGCGCAAAUGCCACUGAGCUAUAUCCCUGGCCCAGGGUUUCUGUAGUCUUAAAGUGGAAUAAAAUGCUGGCAGAGGAGAGUGGUUGGCUCAGCAGGACAGGACUUGCGUAGCACACCUGACCCUUUCACCCCCUUACAAAAAAAGUGAUUCUUACUGUGAACAUGGGUGAGGCAAUUGGAUGGGGGUAGGGAGAGGCUCUGCAGACUGGGGAUAGUGAGCUGGUGACGCGGUUGGAGAGGGCAUGGAGCCUCUUCACAAGCCGGCCUGUCAGCCGCACUGCCUCUAUCUUGCCAUUCCCUCACCUCUGUUCCCUCUUCACCUAGACGUCUUUGAAGAUAAGAAAGUGAAACACCUGAAGAAGAGCCUUUGCUCAAAAGUGUCACGAGGAAAGAGGAAGAGAGGCUCCAGUGAUCCUGCGGGCCCCGUAGAUAGUGCAGUGAAAAAGAAAGUGACCAAGGUGACUGUUAAAUCUGAAAACCUCAAGGUGAUAAAGGACGAAGCCCUCAGCGAUGGGGAGGAUUUCAGGGACUUUUCACGUGACCUCAAGAAGGUGCAGCAUCCAAAGAGAGAGGCUGCCAUGGGCAAAGGCAGUGACGAAGGAGACGAAGAAAGUGAAGAUGAUUGGGAAGAGGUUGAAGGUGAGGCGUCUUUCCCCACAGUGUAGUCUGGUUGUUUUCUUUUGAAACUGAUAAAACCUAAGACUGAAGAACAGGUUGCAGUAGAAAGUUCCUUUUUCCGUUGAACUCAGAGGCACUGUGCCACUGUACUAUAUCCCCAACCCUUUUUAAUUUGAGAGAGGGGCUUUCUUAAGUUGCCCAGGCUGGCCCUGAAGUUGCCAGCCUCCAGUCUAACCUCCCAAGUAGCUGGGAUUACAGAGAUGCACAACCAUGCCAGGCAGAACUUGGUUUAAUAUAAGGAAUACUCUGUGAGCAAGAUACCAAAGAAGGUGGUAGCGCUGGGGGUAUAGCUCAGUGGCACAGCGCCUGCCUGACAAGCACAAGGUCCUGAGUUCGAUUCCCGGUACGAAUAAAACACAAAGAAGGUGGUAUAUUGUCUUGCUCUGGUGACUGCCAAAGGGGAAGCUGUGAAUAGAGAGACAGUUUUGGAGUACUCAGACUGAGUGCAGACCCUAACCUCGCCUCUUAUAUUGCUCCCCGAGCAGGAACUUGACUUUCCUGAGCUCAGCUUUUUCAUGGGUAGCAUUCUACAAACACUGGGUGUUUAGUAUGAGCAUGUAUUCUAGGUUUAGGACUAUUGUGGGAAGAAAAUGUUUGCAAAUGCAAGAAGUUGGAGCAUCAUAUGCUCAGUAAGUAGCAGUAAUGUGAUCAUUCCUGAUUUCUUCUGUUGAACAUGAUUUUUUUCCCCAGCAUUUUACUUUCAAAGUAUUUAAACCUACAAAAACUGAAAGUGUGUGGACAGUCUCUUCACCUAGAUUUGUCAACUUUCACAUGUUGUGGGACCAUUUGAGAAUAAGUUGCAGACAUCCUGACACUGCUUCUAAACACUUCAGCAUGCCCUGAGAGUAAGUCAUUGUCCUCCCUGGCAAAGCAACAUUAUCACAGUUAAGAGAAAAAAAUAAGUCCCCAGUUGUAUGCUGGACAUGGUGGUGCAUGCCUAUAAUCCCAGCACUGGAGAGGCUGAGGCAAGAAAACUGCUGCAAGUUUGAGGCCAGCCUGGGCUACAGAGUGAAUUCAAGGCCAGCCUGAACUAUAUAGUGAUACCCUGUCUCAAAAGAAAAGAAAAAGAAACCAAAAAGUAGAAAUAUCUUUAUAGCUGUACCUUUGGCCUUUUAAUAAUUCAGAGUUCAGUGAGUUCGUAAGCUUUGCAUUUGGUCAUUAUGUCUUUUUACUCUUUUAAAAUCUAGAACUAUACACCCCUCACUUCCAGAGGGGCCUUGUGUAUGUUAGGCAAGUGCUCUACCACUGGUUCAUACCCCCAGCCCUAUGUAUUUAUUUUAUUUUGAGAGAGGGUCUUGUUCAAUUGCUCAGGCUGGUCUUCAACUUAUGAUCCUCCUGCUUCAGCCCCCUGAGUAUCUGAGAUUGCAUGUGUGCACCCCUGUGGCUGGCUAUACCGCUUCUUUUGAAGGGUGUAGGCCUCUUAUUUUUUAGAAUAUCUAAUGUUACUAGGUUUUUUUUCUUUUCUUCAGUCUUUUUGAGACAAGGUUUUGCUAUGCAAUUCAGGCUGGCCUUAUACUCACUUGGUAGCCAAGGCUGGCCUUGAACGUGUGGCAAUCCUCCUGCCUCAGCCUCUUGAGUGCUGGGCUUACAGGCAUGUGCCACCACACUCUGCUUAAUUGUCUGAUAAAUAGAUAGCUCAUGGAAUGUUAAACUUAUGUCAGUAUCCUUUAUAGUUCUUAAAAACUAUAAGUUAAGUCCAAAGACUUGAUUGGCUUUAGAUUAUUUUUCUUUUUGCAUAAGGAUACCUCCUGGGUGGUGUGUUAUGUUUGUUGCACCCAUUAAAACCCAUCUGAAGCCAGGCGUGGUGGCACACACCUGUAAUCCCAGCACUCAAGAGGCUGAGGCAGGAGAAUCCUUGUGAGUUCAAGACCAGCCUGGGCUACAAAGUGAGCUCAAGGCCAACCUGAACCGCAUAUUGAGACCCUAUCUCAAAAAGACAAAACAAAACAAAACAAAGCAAAAAAAAACCAUCCGAGUAGUUGGAGCUCUGUUUGAGCUGGUACUACCACUGCAUCUUUUGACAUGGUCUCAUAGUUUUGGAGGCUAUUUCUGCUUUCUAGCACAAGGUUUUCCAGGUUUACCGUUCCUUUCCUUGGUCCAGACCUGAAAUCAACCUUUUCUCUCCUAGAAGCCCUGGUUUCAUUUUAUUUUUCUUUGUACAGCAAAGCAGCUGUACUUCCUCUUCAUGGUAACAAAUGAAAACAAAACACCUCGGUUACAAGAGUAUUAAAAUAUAAAAUAGUGAUAAAUCUCACCCCAGAAUUUACAAGACCUGUAUACAGAGAACUAGAAAACACUACAAAGAAAUUACAAAUUUCAAGAAACAUUUUAAGGUGAAACACUUGAAGAUAACAGUUUUCUAUGAAAAUCCAAAAGACUUUAAAUCAUUAAAACCAUUUUGAAAAAGAAGCAAAAACUUUGGACAUAAUUUCCAGAAUUAGUAUACAUUUAUAAUACCUUACUCUUUCACCGUCUCACACUAGGGAGACAAUACGAUACUUACAUACAUGUAUGAGUGAUUUAUUUCACUUAUAAGUAUAGGCUCAGGUUGCAUCCAUUCACCUAUAAAAGUCUCCAGUUUAUCCUAUUUUAUGGAUGAAUAAUAAUCCAUUCUAUACAAAAACCACAUCUUUUUUUAUCCAUUCCUUGGUUAAUGGGCAUUUGGGUUGUUUCCAAGAUUUAGCUAUUACAAAUUGUGCUGCCGUACACAUACAUGCACAUAUAUCACAGUAGUAUAAUGUUUAUAAUUCUUCUGGGAAAUACCCACAAGAGGAAUACCUGGGUCAAAUGGGACCUCUAAUCCUACUUUUUUGAGAAAUCUCCACACUGAUUUCCACAGUGGUUGCACAAGUCUACACUCCUACCAACAGUGGAGAGGGUUCCUUUUUCCCCACAGCCCUUCCAGCAUUUGUUGUUGGUUCAUUUCUUUAUAAUAGCCAUUCUUUCCAGGAUGAGAUAGAAUCUCAGUGUUGUUUUAAUUUGCAUCUCUCAAAUGGCCAGUGAUACUGAACAUUUCUUCAUGUAUUUGUUUGUAUUU
ensembl:lincRNA